ACCCGGUUAGCUCAAUUGGCUAGAGCGUUGGACUGCAAAUCCAAAGGCUACGAGUUCGACCCUCGUACUGGGUG
rnacentral:tRNA from 1 species